rnacentral:lncRNA from 1 species
UCCUUGCAUCUUUUUAAAGCUCAAGAGAUAUUUUUAAGCAUUUGGACCUAAUAAUUCAAUCAUAUGGGUCUUUCUUUGACUGUAUUCAAAGGAAAAGGGUUUUCAUAGGUUUUGCUUUUUGUACAUAGUGCUUUAUUUAAAAUGAGUGAUAUAAAAAGAGGAAUAAGGUGGUUUUCAACAAAUCUUAAAAAUAUAAAACUUUUGAUGAUAGAGCAAAAAAAAUGAUAGGUGUAUUUUGAAGUUGUGAAAAAUAUAAAAAAAUGUUAAUACUUCUCUAAAGGAUGCAAGACACGUAUUGUUUGUAUAAGUAGUGUAAAAUAGAAGCUUAAUUUUAUUUAGACAAGAGGAAGUAGGAGAUUGAUAAAAUUUUUAAAAUUAUUAAAAAUAAGACUUUCUAUAUACAAAGUAAGUUGCGCUAAAUUUUUUAAUGAAUACUUCAAAGAAAACAGAAUUGAAAUAAGCCAAUUCAGGGCAGAUAAGUGCAUUUACUAUUUCAUAAAAGAAAGUAAAAGAAUACCAAGAUAUUAGGUCUUAAAUCCCAAAUAAUUUACUCAUCGAUGGGACCACAACAAUGACAUUUAUUUUACAACAACCAAUAUGUACCACAUACGUCAAGUAUUAAUCUUUUUAACUACAACUAAGGCCACCAAAAGAAAUUAAAAUAUAAGUAAAUAAAGGGGUAUUUGGUUCGUAACUAAAAUCAGAAUGGGAAUAAAAAUCAGAAUAUUUUGGAAUCAGAAUCAGAAUAGCUAAAUCUUCCGAAACAUUUGGUUCGUGACCGAAAUCGGAAUCGAAAUAGAUGAUUUCCAUUGUUGUUAUUUGGUUCAUCUAAAUAUAGGAAUCAGAAUCAAUUCAAAUUUUUAUUUUUAUCUUUGAACUAAAAAUUUUCAAAAAUUAAAUUUUUUAAAAUAAUAAAUAGAUAACAAAUCAACUAUUAUGGGAGCUUUGAUAAAUAGAUAACAAAAAUGUGCUUACAUCUGUUUAUCCAGAGCUUAGUGAAAAGAAAAGAAAAAAUUAACCUUCCUCAACCCUGAAUACAUAAAUGAAACGUUCAGAAAUUGCAAACUUUAAUGGCAUUUCAUCAUAAAUUUCUGGCCAGUUGCAUGAAUAAGCAUGGUAGUAAUAAAAUCUACAAUCACCAACAUCAAACUGUAUCUAGCAUUGAUACGUAUAACAGCCAUUGUCAACGUAUAAUCACAGAUAUUAAAUUGAAUGCACACAAAAAAAAAAAGAUUGAAAUUUACUUUCUGUUACAUGGAUUACAGACUAUCUCAUGUAAAGGUACAAUGUAGAAGUUAAUAGAUAUUGAAUUUUUAUAAAGGCAAUCUGCACCAUCAAUAUUAGUUUAAAUUUAUUAUUUUUUUUUUAAAUUAUAAAAUCUGGCAACUAGGUUUGCCCGAACCAAUGCCUUAAACAAUAAAAGACAUCUCUUUGGCCACAGUAGCUACUGCAAUUAAAAUUCAUGUAUUUGUUAACUAUUUCUUACAUCAUAUUGUAAAAAGAUGAUAGCAUGCGAUAGGAUCUGCUAUUUUCAACUAUUUUUAGCAAUAAGACUGCCAUCUAGUGGACUCAUUAGAGGCACAAUGACAGAAAUCAUCUUGCAACUGAUCAUGCUAAUAAUAUCAGGAGAUAUUAGGAAGCAGCUCUGCAAAAGAAUAAAACUACCAUCAAUUAUGGCUUUGAGAUUGCACAUAAGCAUCAAGCAAUUUCAUAUGCACAGAAUAAGAUAUCUGAAUGACAAUUCUAACCAUUUGUCUCCAUGUUAAGAUAAAGAGCAAAUAAAAUAAACAUGUAUACACAUACCUGCAAGAGAAAUGAGCAGGUUGGUCUUCACUUCUGCAACACCGAAGAAAAAAAUGACAUAAACUUUUGACAAGAUUCAACAUCUAAAUUUUUAAUAGGUAGCAAUUAAUAAUAGAUAAAAAGAGCAAGCUAAAGUAAAAAUUGCUGGAGCUCUCAAAAUCCAAUCAAAAAAAUAGUAAAAGGAUAGAUAACACAUAUGUAUGAGAAAAAAUAUGAACAAGUGCUGAUAAUUCCAACAUCUUUUAGUACUCAGUCAUUCUUUUCCUUCUUCUUUCUUCUAUCGAGAGGUAGCUGAAGUUCAUCAUAAUAUUUAAAAAAUCAUAAUAAAUCAAUAUCAAUUUCACUGUCACAACCACAAUACGUACCUUUUUAAAAAGCAAAUAUGUAAUUUCAUCUUUUACUCACGCACCUUUUCAAAAUCCAAUGAAUUAGUUUAUACAUGCAAUUGUAACCGAUAGCUAGCACUUCUAUUCAGAACUACAAGUUUCUUUACACCUGAGGGAACCAAUCAAAUUCUUCCAUCAGAGAAACUUUAGUCUAAAUAGAUGACUCGUGUAUCAUGUGAUGUCACCUCAAUUUGUUCCUGUAAUUUCCUCAGGCCCUCAGUUUGCUUGCGCAAAAUAGAAAUGGGAAAAGAGAUCUCCUUUUGUUCAGAACUUGUAUUAUGAGCAAAUAAGAACACCCAAUUGUGAUCUUAUUCAUCAUACUCAUUGAACUGAGAUUGUGUUUUCUCCUCACCAAUAUAUUCAACUUUUUUCUCCAUGGUCAUAUUAUUAGCUGCCUUGCAAUCUGCUGUGGAAGAAUAUUAUGGUCUGUGCAAGAAGACCUAUAAAUACUGAAAAGAUCUCACCUUGAUUUCUACUGUCGACUCUUUGUGACCCUAUAUAAAUUCUCCUUUCAAGAUGUAAUGUGUGUGUGUGAGAGAGAGAAUGAGAGUGCGAGAGAGAGAGAGAGAGUCUGGAGGACUCUUCAGAUGGUAUGGAGACAAGCCUGGAACUCUCAUUACUCACAUCAAUGCUUUAGGAUAGCUUCUGUGGUUGAAUAACAGGAGCUGGAACUUCAGAAUAGGGAGCAAAUUAACAAGUUCAAUGCAAGGUGGAAAAGAUGUAGCUUGCUAUUGCUCCCACCGAGCUCAGAGAUUGCAUCAACAGAAAGACUGAGAGGUUGAAUAACAUGAGCAAAAGCUUCAGGAUAAAGAGCAAAUUAUUAAUUUGAAUGCAACAAGAAAAACAUGUAGGUCAGUGACUUGCAUCAACAGAAAUUUGAGACUUAAGGGGAUAUUUCAGUUAGGAUUUAGAGAAUGUGGAGUAUGAAUUACCAGGAAUCAAAUCAAUAAUGCCACCCUGAACAAUCAGAUCUUUGUCUUGAACAGAGAGCUUCUUUAUUUGGUUACC